rnacentral:lncRNA from 11 species
GCUGCAUUUCUUUAAUCCCUUUCAGCAUUUUAUAAAUGAAAAUCAGGAUAUAUGUGGCCAAGCAAUAUCAGAGUGUGGCCAAGAUGGCAAACAUUAUUAAUAAGGAAGAGAACACCAACUAGAAGCAGGCAUCCUCUCACAAAUCCCAUCUUUCCCUAAGAAGAAAGGCUGUGCUUCCCCUUCUGCCCCAACAUGUUUUUCUACAUAGAUCUCCCUUCUGUUGCUUUGCCUCUGAAUCCAGUUUGCAUAUUGAGCUUCCAGGAACUAUUUUCAACUUCCAAGGGCAUUUGAGCAUGAAGAACACAUUUCUUGAUGUCUUUAGCUACAAAUUGGCACGCAGCUGGGCUUGCAGUAACAUUGUGAGGAGGGGGCCAACAUCUUCAAUUCGCUGUUUAUUACCCAGGAAGUUCUGAUCAAGUUUAUGGUUCUAAGGACUUCAACAUAUCAACUCCACCGAAGAACAGGACAAGCUAUUGUAAAUAUGAACCAUCAAAGCACCAGCCAUUUCAAUGAAAUGAAGCAAAUCAAUUGUUUUUCAUAAAGGUGCCUUUCAGAUCUCCUUUUUCAUGUUCUCCAUUUCCAUAUGCUAGACUAUGGAGUGAAAUAAAUUAACUAUGAGGAUCUUCUGCCACUGUCUCAUUAAUUUCUGGGGAAAAAUAUACUAAUUAAGCACAUGUUAUUUUACUUGAUCUAAAUAAACAGAUAUACUCCCAG